rnacentral:lncRNA from 1 species
AUAAAAAUUAGACCGCUAAUGUCGCUGCAAAUGUUGUGACCAACAUCUAGUUUGCAUGUUUCAGAGGUGGUACUCAAAGUGUCAAAUUUUUCUUCAAUUCAAUCAUAGUAACGUGUUUUCGAAAUCAAAACAUAAUCUCUGUCAUAGUUCUUGCCAUCGUACUUGAGUCGUGAUGACUUGAGAAAAAAAAGUUUUUCGUGUGCCUUGAUGAUUUGUAACUUUAAAGGCAAAGGAAAACAUCUUCAAUUGGUGUCGUUCCACAGGAUCGCAUAGAUUGAGGAGGUUCAAUGAAAGACAAUACGGAUGGCGGAUUAGCUUUUGCUCCUAGUUCUUUCAACCUGCUGCAGGAAAAAGUUUUUGUCUGCUACGGUUUGACCAUAUGUAAGGAAGUCUGAAAACCGUGAAGAUCAAAUGCUUCUAUGUUUGCACAUUCCUAAUUGAUUUUUAUUAUUUAUGGUUGGGCGAAGAGAAAAAGUUGUAGCAAAUAAACGUUUUUUUUUAUUCAAA